AUUGAACGCUGGCGGCAGGCCUAACACAUGCAAGUCGAGCGGAUGAAGAGAGCUUGCUCUCUGAUUUAGCGGCGGACGGGUGAGUAAUGCCUAGGAAUCUGCCUGGUAGUGGGGGAUAACGUUCCGAAAGGAACGCUAAUACCGCAUACGUCCUACGGGAGAAAGCAGGGGACCUUCGGGCCUUGCGCUAUCAGAUGAGCAUAGGUCGGAUUAGCUAGUUGGUGAGGUAAUGGCUCACCAAGGCGACGAUCCGUAACUGGUCUGAGAGGAUGAUCAGUCACACUGGAACUGAGACACGGUCCAGACUCCUACGGGAGGCAGCAGUGGGGAAUAUUGGACAAUGGGCGAAAGCCUGAUCCAGCCAUGCCGCGUGUGUGAAGAAGGUCUUCGGAUUGUAAAGCACUUUAAGUUGGGAGGAAGGGCAUUAACCUAAUACGUUAGUGUUUUGACGUUACCAACAGAAUAAGCACCGGCUAACUUCGUGCCAGCAGCCGCAGUAAGAC
rnacentral:rRNA from 1 species